ensembl:lncRNA
AAUAUAUGUUCCCAAAGAAAUCCAGUGUCGCUGCCACAAGGACAUGGUGCUAGAAGAUUCCUUUCUUUCCGAAGUAGUCUUUCAAAUGAAACCUGUUCUUCAGUCAUUAAGAAAAAUAGUGAUGCUCAUAAAGGGUCGAACGCCAAGGCGGCCGGCUGGGAGCGCAGCCRAGGCGCUCGGAGACCAGCAGGCAACGGCGAGAAGGGGAGCUGGAGCGCGCGUCCGCGUCCGAGAGGCACCUGCACGUGGAAGCGAGUGCUCACGUCUGGAAAGCAGCCCCGAGCGCCUGUCCUGGGCCUACCCGGCCCAGCCUGCCUGGUCUGUAUUAGGGAUCACAGCAAGYGGCAGGAAGCGCUGCAGGACACAUGUGCAUCAGGACUGGGCUUUGAGUAGCGAGUCUUCCUUAACCCGUUAAGUCGGUGGAUGUCUUGGGGGUCGGAGUCCGUAGCAAACGAUGCAGCCAGGAAUGGGCUAGCUCAGAUAUCACGAAAGAUGCGGCAAGCAUGACGGGGGAAGCGGGCCGGUUCCCGAGGCCGCCUGCAGAGAGGAGCCGGCAGUGCGUGGGAGGCGCAGCACCAGCACCAGGCCGGGCAGCCGCAGCCGAGCGGAGCAAYGCCUGUGCAAGCACGAGAUUGCGAAUGCAGCUGCGACUCCCUUCCUAUGGGCAAGCGGGACCAGAGAAGCUGGUCGAGAGUGCUGGUGAAGGGCGGCUCCUGGGUAUCCGGUGCUGCCGCCCAGCCCCUGGCGCGGAGCAGCUGCCGGAGGCUCCUGCACCUCAGGAGCCCUGGCCAAAGGGCAGAUGGAGAAUUGGUGAUAGGAACAAGCCCCACAAAAGUGCUGAAAGUAGUUUGGUCUACCUGACCUUCUGCUUUUUAAAGUAUCAGCGAAGCUUUUCUGGACCAAAAGUAUCUUUAACCUUGUUUGCCGUUAAGGAAGAACCCUUGCUUUGCAGCUUGUUUGGCAUUCAAGGGAGGACAGGCGAGGCUCGAUUAGUCUCGCUUAACCUCCAAGCCAAGUUUUGUGUCUGCMUGAUUUAUUUCACUUGUCAGCUGCACAUUUUAAUGCACAGAGCAGUACUGGGUUUUGUUGCUUUUCCAUAUGCAUACUUAAAAACACUGUUGUUAUUCACCUGUUUACAAUCCUUAUAAUAAAACCGCAUUUUUUUUCUGCUGUGAAAAAACUCUAGUGCUGUGCUGAAAUGAGCAGAAUAUCUAAGAGGGCAAAGCUGUGUGGUGCAGCUUGCGUAUCUCUUCCUGUGCUCUGCCCAACUUGCCCUGGUGGUUCCUGUUAGCCUUCUCCCUGGUGCGCUUUAAUUCUGGGACUUAUUCUCAUAAGAAAUCCACAUACUAUGAACACACUAAAUGCAAAAAUUAAAGGCAGUACACAAAGAGCUCAGUAACAAGUGCUCUGUUUUCUUGCUGCCCACUUUAUGCAGUGCAAUGAUCAAGGUUUGGCAAGCAUCAGGUACCUCUUUGUAAAGGUAUGUAUUUAGGGAAAAAAAAGCUAUUGCAAAAGUUAUAGUUUYUGGUAGGUUGCUUGUUAUUCAUCCACUAUUUGUCUGUUAUUUCAGACUCCCCAGCACGGUGUGUUCACUGAUACUCUCUGCUUAAAAAAAAUGUAAGGAACAGGUCAUACUGUCACGCUUUAUUCUGUCAGCUGUCUCCACUGAAGUCAUAUUUUGGCUGUAGAGCAUCUCAUUUUGAAUGGUUGUUAUCUUCAUGCAGCAAACUGAAAAUCCAAUGAAAAC